UACGUAGGGGGCAAGCGUUGUCCGGAAUCAUUGGGCGUAAAGAGCGUGUAGGCGGCCCGAUAAGUCCGCUGUGAAAGUCCAGGGCUCAACCCUGGAAUGCCGGUGGAUACUGUCGGGCUCGAAUCCGGAAGAGGUGAGUGGAAUUCCUGGUGUGAGCGGUGAAAUGCGCAGAUAUACAGGAGGAACACCAAUGGCGAAGGCAGCUCACUGGGACGGUAUUGACGCUGAGACGCGAAAGCGUGGGGAGCAAACAGG
rnacentral:rRNA from 1 species